rnacentral:rRNA from 1 species
AUUGGACAAUGGGCGCAAGCCUGAUCCAGCCAUACCGCGUGGGUGAAGAAGGCUUCGGGUUGUAAAGCCCUUUUGUUGGGAAAGAAAUCCAGCCGGCUAAUACCUGGUUGGGAUGACGGUACCCAAAGAAUAAGCACCGGCUAACUUCGUGCCAGCAGCCGCGGUAAUACGAAGGGUGCAAGCGUUACUCGGAAUUACUGGGCGUAAMGCGUGCGUAGGUGGUCGUUUAAGUCCGUUGUGAAAGCCCUGGGCUCAACCUGGGAACUGCAGUGGAUACUGGGCGACUAGAGUGUGGUAGAGGGUAGCGGAAUUCCUGGUGUAGCAGUGAAAUGCGUAGAGAUCAGGAGGAACAUCCAUGGCGAAGGCAGCUACCUGGACCAACACUGACACUGAGGCACGAAAGCGUGGGGAGCAAACAGGAUUAGAUACCCUGGUAGUCCGACGCCCUAAACGAUGCGAACUGGAUGUUGGGUGCAAUUUGGCACGCAGUAUCGAASUAGCGCGUUAAGUUCGCCGC